ACUGCGUACCUUUUGUAUAAUGGGUCAGCGACUUAUAUUCUGUAGCAAGGUUAACCGUAUAGGGGAGCCGGAGGGAAACCGAGUCUUAAUUGGGCGUUAAGUUGCAGGGUAUAGACCCGAAACCCGGUGAUCUAGCCAUGGGCAGGUUGAAGGUUGGGUAACACUAACUGGAGGACCGAACCGACUAAUGUUGAAAAAUUAGCGGAUGACCUGUGGCUGGGGGUGAAAGGCCAAUCAAACCGGGAGAUAGCUGGUUCUCCCCGAAAGCUAUUUAGGUAGCGCCUCGUGAAUUCAUCUCCGGGGGUAGAGCACUGUUUCGGCUAGGGGGCCAUCCCGGCUUACCAACCCGAUGCAAACUGCGAAUACCGGAGAAUGUUAUCACGGGAGACACACGGCGGGUGCUAACGUCCGUCGUGAAGAGGGAAACAACCCAGACCGCCAGCUAAGGUCCCAAAGUCAUGGUUAAGUGGGAAACGAUGUGGGAAGGCCCAGACAGCCAGGAUGUUGGCUUAGAAGCAGCCAUCAUUUAAAGAAAGCGUAAUAGCUCACUGGUCGAGUCGGCCUGCGCGGAAGAUGUAACGGGGCUAAACCAUGCACCGAAGCUGCGGCAGCGAACGUAUCACCCAAGACAACUUUACGGAGUUGACGAUUGACGGAGCGAAGCGACGUCAAAGCGUUCAUUAAAGUCGAGUUGGCUUAGGGAUACGUUCGUUGGGUAGGGGAGCGUUCUGUAAGCCUGUGAAGGUGUGUCGUGAGGCAUGCUGGAGGUAUCAGAAGUGCGAAUGCUGACAUAAGUAACGAUAAAGCGGGUGAAAAGCCCGCUCGCCGGAAGACCAAGGGUUCCUGUCCAACGUUAAUCGGGGCAGGGUGAGUCGACCCCUAAGGCGAGGCCGAAAGGCGUAGUCGAUGGGAAACGGGUUAAUAUUCCCGUACUUGGUGUUACUGCGAAGGGGGGACGGAGAAGGCUAUGUUGGCCGGGCGACGGUUGUCCCGGUUUAAGCGUGUAGGUGUGUGUUCCAGGUAAAUCCGGUUCACUUUAACACUGAGGCGUGACGACGAGGCACUACGGUGCUGAAGCAACAAAUGCCCUGCUUCCAGGAAAA
rnacentral:rRNA from 1 species